UACGGAGGGUGCAAGCGUUGUUCGGAUUUACUGGGCGUAAAGCGCGCGCAGGUGGGUGAACAAGUCGGAAGUGAAAUCUUGAGGCUCAACCUCGAGGCUGCUCCCGAAACUGUUCGCCUAGGGACUGGUAGAGGCUGGUAGAAUUCCCGGUGUAGCGGUGGAAUGCGUAGAGAUCGGGAAGAAUACCUGUGGCGAAGGCGGCCAGCUGGGCCAGAUCCGACACUGAGGCGCGAAAGCCAGGGGAGCAAACGGG
rnacentral:rRNA from 1 species